AGGGGCCCAUGGAUGGACGGGUGGAGGUGGGGUGUUGGCUAGGAAGAGAUUGAUGGGGCACGGGGGGGGAGGAGUGGGUGAGGCAACAGGGAAGGGGAGCUCAGGGCAGCGGGGUGCUAUAUGGGGGCAAUGGGGAGGGAGUUAGGGCGGUACAUGGAGGGGGUGGUGGUGGGACCCAAGGUGGAGAUGGGUCUGGAGUUGUGUAUACACACACGCCUAUCUCUGAGCUUUGCUGACACCCUAAGAGAGGGCCGAGGCCUGCCGUCAUGUGGCUAUCAUUUCUUGGAAGAAACUGAACAUUUUUGGAUUCAGGUUUUUAACAAUUUUGGUAGUACUGCUGAUAUUAUUAAACUAAUACCUAAGGAUCUAUUUGCUGAGCUAUGUGAGCGAAUUAUUCAGCAUCUUCACUGUCAGAUCCCAGGUGUAAAUACAGUAGAACUAUGCCAGAGAUUUCAAACAGCUGGAGUUGAAAUGAACGUUGCUGACCUAGCAAAGAUAAUUAAUGUUGUUUCCUUUUUAUUCAGCACAGCAGCCAAAAACAACCUCUCUGCAGAAGAACUCUCCACUGGUCUGGGUAAUGUAAUCAGUAUGCUGCCAAAACAUGCAGUUCAGGUUAUUCGCCAUAUGUGGAAUGAACAGGGCAAAUCUAUCAUUAUGUCAGAAGAUGCUAGAAAUAUGGCCACAGUGGGACAGAUUAUAGAUAUUCAGUGGAAACUGGGAAUGGCAGUGAGCUCUGACAGCUGCAGGUCUCUUAAGUAUCCUUACGUUACAAUGACACUAAAAGUGGCAGAGCCGUCGGGCCAGAUAAUGAGCAGAUCUUUUGAAUUGACAAUCCCACAGUUCCAGGACUUCUUCAGACAUUUCAAGGAAAUGGCAGCUGUUCUUGAAACAGUUUGAGCAAAACUGUUUAAACACUUCAAAGACACACUUUACUUGAUCCAAAUAAGCCUUCCUAUCUUGCACAAGUAAUUAAAGUGUCAAUGUUUAAGUAAGAUCCUGGGGUAUAUGGCUUUCUUCCCAAGAGGUUCAGAGACGGGCAUAGAUGUGACUUGCAAGCUUCCUACCUCUGGAGCUCCUAAAGGCAGCAGGGGAUCUGACUGUAGCCUUCUCUACAUCUUCAGGAGUUGGUAUUUGGGCCAGCUCCUGCAUUGUUGGAAGCUGGUGAUGACUGCUUUGGUGAAAGUUGGAAGCUGGUGAUGACUGCUUUGGUGAACGCGUCAUUGAGGUGCCAGGCCUACACUGGGAAUGGCAGUUAAGGACAAGUCUACACUCCAGCCUAAGUCGAUAUAACUUACGUUGCUCAGGGGUGUGAACCCCCACCCAUGAGCAACAAGUUUUGCACUGUCCACACCAGCGCUAUGUCGGCGGGAGACGCUCUCCUGUCAGCAUACCACAUCUUUACCAGAUGCACUACAGCAGCACAGCUCAGUGCAGCUGAGCCAACGUAGCACCUAAGGCAGUGUCACAGAUAAUGACAUCCUUUGAGUAGAGUUCUUUGUAAUGCUCAAUCCAUCGGUCAAGUUGUUUUUGCCUGUCAGUUAAUAUGGUAUGAUCUUUUGCUUUUAGGUUUGCGGUCUUUUUACAAGAUGGACCCAGUGCUUCUUUAAUUGCACUAUAGGUACCACAAAGGUCCCCUCUUUCAAACAGAUCUGAAUCUUUCUGCACAGGUCUUGCCAAUACUUCUGGGCACUUUCUUUGGUGGCUUUCUGAACCUCAGCCUUACCCUCUUUAAACUUGAGAGUUCUGGUCUUAGGUGGUUGUUAAAGUAAAGUUAGGUGAGGAUUUUUUCCCCCCCUAUAAGUGGGAGCAGCAGAUGUUCAGAUGCUGCAAACCAAUCAAGAUGUUUUUUCUCUGUUGUUCCAAAGCCAUCCUUGGCAGUAACCAGAAUCAUCUUAUUAAAUUUUUCCCACAAGGUGUCAAAAUCAGGGGAAUCAGGUUGAUCAUUUUAAAAAACAAGCUCAUGCACACAUUGAAACUUUGCACAAGUAUCAGAAUCCUUCAUGUUAGUGAUGUUGAGGCAAGGUUUACCUUUUCGCUUUGCAUAACAGAUCUUUUUAUGAUGCAAUUGGAGCUUGGCCCUCAAAAGAGCAUGCUCAGUGUCACAAUCAGCACUAGGCAUUGAUUGAACGUGCAAUACAUUGCAAAUGUUUCUGCGACAGAUCAGGAUAAGAUCAAGCUGACGCCCAUGUGCUGAGUGAGGGUGCCUCCAUAUGACCUUUCUGCGGCUGCUGCCACCUGCCAGCAAAAUAGGUGUUUGGGACUAUCUGCUCACAAAAGGCACAAAGUUCAAGAACAGCUGGCCAUUUCUGUUGAGGCUACUUGUGCUGUAUUGACCAAUGAUGUGUCCCUUGUGCUCCCAAUCCUUACCCACACAGGUGAGUCUGUCCCCGGAAAAAAAAUUAAGUAUUUAUUCCAGCUGAGAAUAAAACUCAUCUUUUUGCUGUUUGGAAUAAUCAAGUGUUGGGCCAUAAAUGGACAGAAGAGUCAGUCACACAGAGUUUGUGUUUGUAUCCAGCUGCAUGAUCCUCUUAUUGAUAGGUACUGGAAGGGGUACAUACACUGAGGACAGACUUCUUGACAGCAUAUCCAACAUCACGUAUCAUUAGUUCAUUGUCAGGUUUCCCAGAUGAGUAGAACUGAUAAUUUCUUAGAUCCAAUUUCUGAAAGCCUCGUCUCAUUGAGGGCUGCAAUAUCAAUGCCCAAUUGAUGUAUUCUCUAUCAGUUAGAAUCUUUCAGUUCAAGUCUGGUUAACAUAGUAUGAACAUUUCAGCAAGCACUGAUUAGUUUAGUUUAGAGCCUGGAAAGAAACUGGAAGGGAGCUUUUUUAACCCACCGUUCCUAGUGCCUUCCCCAGAUUGGGGCAAGCAGGCCACUCCUAAAUAGGGCUGCUUGGAGAUUUGAGCCACUGCUGAACACCUGGGUCCUUCUCCACCAGAAGGAGCAAUGGUCGAGCACCACCAGCUUAGGUUAAAACUUCCCCAAGGCACAAAUUCCUUUCCUUGUCCUUGGACGGUAUUGCUGCCACCACCAAGUGAAUUAAACAAACAUUUAGGGAGGGCCACUUGGAGCCCUAUCCCCACAAAAUAUCCCCCCAAGCCCCUUCACCCCAUAUCCAGGGGAGGCUUGAGAAUAAUAUACUAACCAACUGGUUACAAUGUAAGCACAGACCAAAUCCCUGGGUUUUUAGUACACUGAACAUUAAUCAGGUUCUUAAAAGAAGAAUUUUUUUUUUAAAAAGUAAAAGAAUUGCACCUGCAAAAUCAGGAUGGAAGGUAACUUUACAGGGUAAAUAAAAAGACUUAAAACACAGAGGAUUCCCCUCUGACUCUGCUUCCCAGUUACAAAACAGGAAUGAAAUUACCUCUUAGCAUAGGGAAAAUUCACAAGCUAAAAGAAAAGAUAAUCUAACGCAUUUCCUUGCCUUACUUACAAUUUUUUAAAUUUUAGAUGCUCAUUUUAGGUAUGUUUUUAGGAGAUGUUUUUCCUGUCCGGACCCUCUCUCUCUUGCGAGAAGGGACACACAAAGAGAGCACAAACAAAACCUCCCCCUGAUUUGAAAGUAUCUUCUUUUCCCAUUGGUUCUUCUGGUCAGGUGCCAACUAGGUUAAUUGAACUGAUUAACCCCUUACAGGUAAGGUGAUUCUGUAUCUUUGGCCAGGAGGGAUUUUAUGUUACUGCAUACAUAAGGGUUAUUACCCUUCCCUUUAUAUCUAUGACAAGGCUCAUCUGCUUUUCUGGGAACAUUUCCUUCCCCCAUUGGUUCCACUACUCCACCCCUUAGCACAGCUCGGCCUGAAGCCGUUGGAGCUUCUCCUGAUAUUAAGCGCCACCUGUCACUCCCCAUUGCAUCGCUGGCUGCACCAUCUAAACAUUCAUUGGUGAAUCCCAGGAAAGGGCCUGGUUCGAUGCUGAAAGAUGUGUAAAAGAAUUAAGUUGAGAAGAGAGAGGACUGGUUUUGAAAACUGAAACUGUGGUAGCUGGAUUAAAGGUUUAGAACUUAAUUAUCUCAAAAAUACUAAUGUUUAUGUAAAUGUGUAGGUUUAUAAAGAAUUUAGCACUAAAAAUAAAUUGUGUGGAUCAAAAUAACCAAAUCUAACAUCACAUUAAGCAAGUCAGCCAAAUGAAACAUUAAAUCAACUAGCUUUACAUAAGUGAGCAGCAACAGUAAUAAAAAGAUAAAUCUCUGGCUAUUUUACAGAUGCUAUACGAAGACACACACAUAUAUUAGAAUAAACCCCAGAAUUUCAAUCUCAAGUUUCAUAUAUUUCUAGUUUUCCCCAUUUCUUCACCAUCUGCCUUAGAGAAACAUUCAAUAAAACUGGAGUAUGUCCUUAGGAGAUGAAAUACACACCCUAUCUAUAAUUGUAUCUAAAAUACAAAAUGCUAUUUUGUUGAGAAAACCAGCAAACAAUAAUUAUUUGCAGUUUCUACUUUCCCAACUGAAAAGACUGCUUGCUCUUGUUGAGCAAUAUGGAGGUAUGAUUUACUGCUGCUGCUUGCAGGAGGCACCUUGUCCAAUCUCAGCCACUUUCAGAAUUAUAUUUUAACAAUGAGAUUCAUAUGUUAUUAGCCCUGCCUUCUCCCUUCCUGAUUAACAUUAUUAUUUGUAUUACUGCCUAAGUGCUGCCCUAGUCAUAUACCAGGACCCCACUGAGCUUGCCCAGAGUAGUAUGGUAGCGUGUGGAAUUCCAGUGUAGGAGAUAGAAAAUGCAACUGACCAUCAACAAAACAAUACUGACUACAUAAAGUAAAGAAACUCAAAAAAGGAAGAGUAUAUUUUUCUCUAUGUGUCUUCUAGUAACAUGGGGGAUUGUUUGUAACUAUGUAUUGUAAAAAAUAGUGUUAGUGAAACAGUUUUGUGCCACAUCUGAUACUUCCUACAAAAAUACCACUAUAACCCUAUUGAGAUGAAGUGCAUCUGAUGAAGUGAGCUGUAGCUCACACAAGCUUAUGCUCAAAUAAAUUUGUUAAUUGCUAAGGUGCCACAAGUACUCCUUUCUAUUGCGAUGUUAACUCGUGUCUGAUUGGCCCAUGAUACCCAUCCUCCAUCACCCACUUGUUACAUUUUCAAACAAGCACCUUCAUGCUUCCUCCCAUACUGCACGCACACUUUGGAGGAGUUCCCCAUAAACAUCUGCAAAACCAACUAAUUUUUCUCCUUCAAACCCUUCCUUUCUGUGUUUUGAAAACAGUUAGGAUGCUGUAGUGCUGUUCAAUAUUGUCUCAUGAUUCCCUUAUACUCCCCUCUAUCUGUAUUAAUUUGUUGUCUCUUGUCUUAUAGACUGUAAACUCUUUGUGGCAGGGGCUGUUUUUUGUUCUGUUUGUACAGUGUCUAGCACAAAGUGGUCCUUGACUAGGGCUCCUAGCCACUACAGUAAUGCAAAUAAUAAAUAAUAAUCCACUGCUCAGUGUGUGUUACAUGUCCUUGAGUCAGGAUGUAAACCUGUUGAAUUCCCCAGCACGAAAGACUGCUUCUUUAGUUCAAGUUGUAGAUACUUAAGCUUUCAGCUCCAGAAGUUCCUGGUUCAAGCAACUGUGUUGGUCAAGACAAUAACCAUUACACUAUAUUACUAUGAACUAACUAGGGCUUGAAGCUAUUGCUAUUUGAUACCGCAAACGUGUACAAAAGGAAAUAGUCAAGAAAAAUAUUUCAAUGUCAUGAACAUGGGUUGUAUGGGAUUGAAAAGGAAUUGUCCAUAUGUGUCUUCAAGCAAAAAAAAACAACAACAACAAAAAAAUUUGUGGUAGGUGGCAAAUUUGACAUCAAAAGAGGCAUCAUAACAAGAAAAAUAAGCCUAAAAAUCCAACACUCGCAAAAAUGAAAAUAUUUAAGCAAAAAAAAAAAAAAAAUUAAAU